rnacentral:rRNA from 1 species
UACGAAGGGGGCUAGCGUUGCUCGGAAUCACUGGGCGUAAAGGGUGCGUAGGCGGGUCUUUAAGUCAGGGGUGAAAUCCUGGAGCUCAACUCCAGAACUGCCUUUGAUACUGAAGAUCUUGAGUUCGGGAGAGGUGAGUGGAACUGCGAGUGUAGAGGUGAAAUUCGUAGAUAUUCGCAAGAACACCAGUGGCGAAGGCGGCUCACUGGGCCGAUACUGACGCUGAGGAGCGAAAGCGUGGGGAGCAAACAGG